rnacentral:rRNA from 1 species
UGCCAGCAGCCGCGGUAAUACGUAGGUGACAAGCGUUAUCCGGAAUUACUGGGCGUAAAGCGCACGCAAGCGGUCUGUCAAGUCGGAUGUGAAAUCUCGGAGCUUAACUUCGAAACUGCAUUCGAUACUGCCGUGCUUGAGGACUGGAGAGGAGACUGGAAUUUACGGUGUAGCGGUGAAAUGCGUAGAUAUCGUAAGGAAGACCAGUGGCGAAGGCGGGUCUCUGGACAGUUCCUGACGCUGAGGCACGAAGGCCAGGGGAGCAAACCGGAUUAGAUA